AUUGAACGCUGGCGGCAGGCCUAACACAUGCAAGUCGAGCGGAUGAAGGGAGCUUGCUCCUGGAUUCAGCGGCGGACGGGUGAGUAAUGCCUAGGAAUCUGCCUGGUAGUGGGGGAUAACGUCCGGAAACGGGCGCUAAUACCGCAUACGUCCUGAGGGAGAUAGUGGGGGAUCUUCGGACCUCACGCUAUCAGAUGAUCCUAGGUCGGAUUAGCUAGUUGGUGGGGUAAAGGCCUACCAAGGCGACGAUCCGUAACUGGUCUGAGAGGAUGAUCAGUCACACUAGAACUGAGACACGGUCCAGACUCCUACGGGAGGCAGCAGUGGGGAAUAUUGGACAAUGGGCGGAAGCCUGAUCCAGCCAUGCCGCGUGUGUGAAGAAGGUCUUCGGAUUGUAAAGCACUUUAAGUUGGGAGGAAGGGCAGUAAGUUAAUACCUUGCUGUUUUGACGUUACCAACAGAAUAAGCACCGGCUAACUUCGUG
rnacentral:rRNA from 1 species